CAUUCCCUUUGAAAACUGGCACAAGACAGGGAUGCCCUCUCUCACCACUCCUAUUCAACAUAGUGUUGGAAGUUCUGGCCAGGGCAAUCAGGAAGGACAAAGAACUAAAGGGUAUUCAAGUAGGAAAAGAGGAAGUCAAAUUGUCCCUGUUUGCAGAUGACAUGAUUGUAUAUUUAGAAAACCCUAUCAUCUCAGCCCAAAAUCUCCUUAAGCUGAUAAGCAACUUCAGCAAAGUCUCAGGAUACAAAAUCAAUGUGCAAAAAUCACAAGCAUUCCUAUACACCAACA
rnacentral:lncRNA from 10 species